UGUAGUCACUGGCUGCUGGAACGUUCUGUCCUGCUGCUCAUUUGUACAGGCCUCUGCCUCAGGCUGUGAAGGUCCUGGAAGAGGACAAAACUGCAGGGUUGGGACUUCUGGGUCCUUCCCCCAGCUCCCCUCCUGCCUGCUCCUCCCGAGCACUUUGGUCCUAGUUAUUCCCGAAGUUCAGACCCUGCGCUAGGUGCUGUGCAGGGACAGGAGACAUGCAGCUCUAAAGAGCCUCUCCGAAGAGCCAGGACUUUGGAUCCAAAUUUUCUUCCCAGGCCCCCAAACACCUGAUACUAUGUAAGAAGAAUUGGAUCCCAAACAUGUUCCAGGACGGUAGCUUUGAACAAACCUUGGUCGACACUGGCAUCAAUCCCCCCUACCUUUGGUGAUUUAUGGAAAAACACCUACUGUUCACCUGACACUCGCCUUUGAUCAGACCCUACCCUGGAUUCCUGAAGGAAUGUGUAUCCUGGACCCCCUUCCAGUAGAAACCCCUAACCCCAAGUGGCGGAGAGACUCCCUCCUUUUCUGAGUCCCUCAGAUACGCCCUCAGCUGUGUGCCAUCACUUACGCUAUUCACUUAAACUCUGCUCUCACUUC